GGCGGACGGGUGAGUAAUGCCUAGGAAUCUGCCUGGUAGUGGGGGACAACGUUUCGAAAGGAACGCUAAUACCGCAUACGUCCUACGGGAGAAAGCAGGGGACCUUCGGGCCUUGCGCUAUCAGAUGAGCCUAGGUCGGAUUAGCUAGUUGGUGAGGUAAUGGCUCACCAAGGCGACGAUCCGUAACUGGUCUGAGAGGAUGAUCAGUCACACUGGAACUGAGACACGGUCCAGACUCCUACGGGAGGCAGCAGUGGGGAAUAUUGGACAAUGGGCGAAAGCCUGAUCCAGCCAUGCCGCGUGUGUGAAGAAGGUCUUCGGAUUGUAAAGCACUUUAAGUUGGGAGGAAGGGUUGCUGAUUAAUACUCUGCAAUUUUGACGUUACCGACAGAAUAAGCACCGGCUAACUCUGUGCCAGCAGCCGCGGUAAUACAGAGGGUGCAAGCGUUAAUCGGAAUUACUGGGCGUAAAGCGCGCGUAGGUGGUUUGUUAAGUUGGAUGUGAAAGCCCCGGGCUCAACCUGGGAACUGCAUCCAAAACUGGCAAGCUAGAGUAGGGCAGAGGGUGGUGGAAUUUCCUGUGUAGCGGUGAAAUGCGUAGAUAUAGGAAGGAACACCAGU
rnacentral:rRNA from 1 species